CCAAGAAUCCAGAAACUUAUAAUUAAGAGAGGGAGAAAAACCCCAAGGAAUUAAUAUUGGUUCACAGACUGUGACCCUACAUGUUCAAAUAUUUUGAGGUAUUAGCAGGUCUUUCUGGGGAGGGUUCUGUGGUCAGCCUUCUGUCUUUGUGAAGUUUUUCUGUUUCCAGACAGACUUCUUUUCUUCCAAUCUAUAGCACUGCAUUAUCUUCUCAUUUAAAUAUUCACAAGUUUAUGCUAAUCCCACUUUCAUACAGCAUAACUCAAUAUGGGUUUUGUCAGUUGGUUUCUGUCCAAGAUGCUCCCCUAGAUACACAUCUUGCUUGCAGAUGCAUCGGUUUAGUUCUUUGUUGGGGAUUUUUUGUGUGGUCUGUGCUCAUGUUUAGUGUGUACUUAGAACAUUUCAUGACACUUUUCUUAUCUUGUACAUAUCUUGAUCAAAAAAAUAUUUGUUGACCUGAAUGAAUAACCUAGAUUUUGUGUGCAAAUGUCCUUGGACUGAUUGAGCAACGUUCAGGUCUUUGGUUCUCCUAAGCCCAAGGAGGAGGAGAUGCCACCCAGUCAGGCUAUGCUCAUGCUUCCUUUGAUGCUAACGCCAGCAAAGCUCAACUCAUAUGGGGAAAAACCUAACACAGCCACUGGUGAGUGUCUACAUUGAUUCUGCAAUACUGCAUUUCAGGCAUGCAGGAACCUGCCAUCGUGCUGAGCUGCUCAGAGCUUCUUCUCAUUACCCUCCCAUUGCCACAAGAACAUUCCUAUAUACGUGGGAGCAUAUGGACUUCACUUGGGAUAGUUAAAUUUUUAAAUCUCAUAGAAAGACCAGGAUGAAAUAACAAGAAUGGUCUUUUGAAUUCCAUUCUGGUGCUCUCCAGUAUCCCGCAGAUUAUAAAAUCCUUUGGGUAGGAGGAAAGAAAUAUCUCAUGGGAAUCCUGAGAAAAAGAAGGCAACUGUUAUUUAAUAAAGCUUGCAGUGCCAGUUUCUGUUAGAUCACAAUUGAAUGGAGGUGUUUAAUACUCCCUGUUCAUGAACUUCUGUGAACUUUUCAUAGGGCUUAAAUCUCCUGAUGUUAAUGGUUUGGAUCUGUGUUUGAGAAUUGAGUUUGAAGGCUGCUAAACUUAAAAAGCCGUUAAUUUUCUAGUUUGUUUGUUGGGCAAAGAAAAUUCUUUGACUCCACUGGAAGUAAGAAAGCUGUAUGUCUUUUCUUCUGGACAAUGAAACUGGGCAAAUAUGUGGAAAGAAGCCUUUACACGGGACAUCAUCAUGGAUUUAGUAUAAACAAACCCUGAGUAGCACUGAACAGUUGGCCAAACCUCAUGGUGGGUGUUUGCAUCACAUGGAGGUGCUGAGAGAGUUAUUCCUUUGAUGUGCAAAGCACUCACAGAAAGUCCUGAUUCUCUGAACACAGUAGGAGUGAAGCCCCAAGACAGCUUCUUGGCUCGGAGCUGUGUUUUUGCAGGGACCAGGUUUGUAUCAGCUUUCUUUCUUGGGCACAGGCUCCCAAGAUUUCCUUCCUUCUCUUUCUCUCACAUGGGUGCACAUUCCUGCCUGCCCCAGGACUCUGCAUGAAGCCCCUCUUCUUACAUAGCUUCAUCUUUGGAGGAGCCCUGGAACGUGGUGUAAAUGGGUGGUGGGUGUUACAUGCAGGGUCAGCUCCUUGGUUGGAUUGUAGGGAAGGGAGCUUUUGCUCCUGUCUGAUCCUGUCAGAUUUUUCCAAAGCCACCUUCACAGAUCAAGGAGGAGACCUGUUCUUGAUGCCAUGGAAUUUUCCUCCUUUCUGCUAACCCUUUUAAGCACUUAUUUCUGCACAGCAGAGUUGCAGAGAUUUUGAAUGACAAAUAAGAUGUGACAUAGGAAGAACAACCAGACAGACAUCCAGUAAUGGCAGACAAAACCUCUUUUACAGGAGAGCCCUUCCAUAUCACACAUAAGAGCUGUGAGGUCUGUGCAUGGUUACUGUCCUAGGAGAUCUGGGUUUGUCAUGCCACUUUAUAAUUAACAUUAUUAAUAUGUACUUAUGCUGGUGCAAGUUUUAGAGCACAGCCUCCAGUGUACUAACACACCAGCAGACUUCCUAGAAAUGCUGCUGUGGGAUGAAAUGUGGGGGCAAGAACAGAUAAACCAGCUGCUGUUGACUAAGCUGUGCGAUGUUACCCCCUAAUGCAUUGGGGAUUUCAAGAAUACUGAGAGAACUCCUGGACAAAAUCUGUGAGUCUGCUGAGCUGCCCCAUGAAGGGAACUCAGAGGUGACAUGUGGAACUCAGAGGUGACAUGUGGCCCUGGUGGUUUCAGCCCCCUCAGCGGUGUGAUUCGUGUCUCUGCGAGCACAGGGGCUGCUUGCUGAGAUGGUUGCAGCAGGUUUGUGUUGCUCAAGAGGCAGCAGAAGCUCCGUGUCGGGGCACAGCACGGCCAGGCAAUGUGCCUGUCAGGCUGCAAGCCUCUUUCAUGCAUGGCCAGCUCCAAAGGGCUGUGCAGCAGGACUUGGCAACCAAAAAUGUCAUCUACAAUUAUGCAUAUUUUCAUCAUCUUCUAUCAUGCAAACCCCCCCAUCCCAAAUAUGCAGCAAAUGUUUUGUUUGCAUAUGUAGGUCAACCACAAAUCUUCUGUGGUCGAACAUAAACAUGGGCAGCACAGAGUGAUGUAUGUGGAUUUAAAUCCAGGCUGAAGCAUAAGCCCACCACGGACCUUUUCCAAGUGGAGUCUGUUUGCUAGAUUCGUUAUCUCUGACUUUUCAUUUUAUAGAACAUUGCUUUCUCAUGGAUUUGUGAAAGAACGUCUGACAGAAGAUACCAUCGUUGCAAAAGGAACUAUUAACUUAGACACAGAUGGAUAGUUCUUCAUGAGUUGGCAGUACAGUCCCUCAGUGUGAGCUGCUGGGAUCAGCAUGGUGGAAAACUGUUCAGGUUGCUGCAUCUGUAAAAAUGCUUUGUUCCUGGAUUCCUCCUGGGACCUGGCACUUACCUUCUGCACACACAGACACCAGAGGUUUGGAAUGAGAUCAUCUUUAAGGUUCCUUCCAGCCCAAACCUUUCUGUGAUCUGGUGGUGGUGGUGAAACCAAGGAUGUGCCUUCAGUGAUGGACAUGGAAAGGACACCACCCAGCCAGCUCAUCCUGCCAACAUUACCAGCCUCCCUGAGCUCCUGCUGGAACAUGGAAAUGCUCCCAAGUUUUUAAUUAAACACUGCCACAGCGAUAAAAAAAGAAUGUACAUCUUUUAAUAGCAACUUGAGAGCACCCAAGAGCGAGCUACCUGACCUCAGCCUUCCUGGUCCCUUCACGUUGCAAGACACCACUCUCUUUAAUUAAUUAAUUUGUUUAUUCGUUGCCUGCAAGGGUAAAUGAUGGAAGACUGGUGAGGCACUGAAAAAAUAA